CUCUGCGGAAGCCGUUUCCCAGCUGAGCUUGUCAUAGAGCUUCAAGGAGUGUGAUCAUCCUGACACAGGGACCAAGUGUGGCUUCGGACCGGACUCUGACUGCCAUCACCCAGGGAAAGCAGGGGCUAGCAAUGCUCUUCUCCACGAAAGAGACAGACAGGCAGUGCAGUGAUCACUGAAUUACAGUAGUAAUUCAGCAUAUUCAAGUCUAUUCCAAGGGUCUAGUUUUUCUUCUUUAAUGUUCAAAAGGAAGUUUUCUUCAUAAACUAUGUUCCAUGUAUUUGUUUGAUUCAGAGCAGUAAACUCUUUGAGAACCUGUCUAGUGUCUGAGUACUUUACUAAUUGAUUCUGGAUUUGAGUCACAAAUCAAAUCAUCUUUUAUUUACCCAUAGUAAUAAAAACAUAGCAAAGCUGGAAGAAGAUGAUUUUAUGAUGGAAAGGGAAUCUCAGGCAAGAGAGCAUUUUCUUUCAGAGAGGAGAUAUUGUUCGGACUCCAUCUUCUGUUCCUGAAGAAGCUGCCGACCUGUGCCCAGGCAUGUGUGUGCGAACCCCAGUGGCCUCCUCCUCAGAGUGUGAAGUUCAUGCAAACUCAGUUACCGUCACUGGAAGCUCUACUCUGUGUUACUCUAAGGACCAGAGGACCACAACGUGAUUUUUGUCAAAAUCAGAAGCUUUACUGACUUCAACUUAAAUUUUCAGAGACUCUGAUGAUGAGCAAAUCUAUGUUACUACAUUAAAGAAAUGUCAAUGACACAAACUGGUCCAACAAUCAUGAAUAUGGUCCUGUCUUGAGUGAAGUUCCAUGGAAAGUAGGGUGCAGUUAAUGUCAUCAUGUGUUCAGAUCAAAUUGGCUAUGGUGUGAAGGUAUAUCCCCCAGGACUCAAGUUGAAAUGUAAUCUCCUUACGGUGGAAUGAAGAAGUGUGACCGUGGGAAGGUGAUCAAGCCAUAAGUUUUGAGUAGGAUCUUAGGGCUGGGAAUCGAAGGGAGCCCCUCCCUCCCUGAUGCCUUCUGCCAUGUGAAGACUAAGCGUGAAUGCAUUUCCUUAGGAGCAAAGAGCAGAGAGCAUCCCCAUGCCACGCCCUGUGGACCUGACAGCUUCCAGAACUGUGAAAAACAGAUCUUUUUAUAAAUCAUCCGGUCUGUGUUAUUGUGAUAGAGCCACAAAAAGGGCCAACAACAAACUUAUUUAGUAAGA